GGGAGUGAGAGGGCAGAGAGCCGGGGCAUGAGGGAGGUGGACAGAGUGGUCGGGAUUUACUGGGCGUGAAGGGGGCGGAGGCGGGCGUGCAAGUCGAGUGUGAAAGCCCCAGGCUCAGCUGGGGAGGGUCAUUCGAUACUGAUCGACUUGAAGGCAGGAGAGGGAAGUGGAAUUCCCGGUGUAGUGGGGAAAUGCGUAGAUAUCGGGAGGAACACCAGUGGCGAAGGCGACUUCCUGGCCUGUUCUUGACGCUGAGGCGCGAAAGCUAGGGGAGCAAACGGGAUUAGAUACCCGGUAGUC
rnacentral:rRNA from 1 species